rnacentral:misc_RNA from 1 species
CGGGAACAGUCCACCAAGCAGACUUCUUUGCCCUUUGUUCUUGGAUUUUGAUUUCUUUCGUGAACCCCCACAGCAACAGCAGCACCAUGAAGGCCAGCAAUCGCAUGUCAUUUUAGGCCUCUUCUCAGACACUGGCGGAUCAUAUCCAUACAAGGCCUGCCUGUUGAAGACACAUCCUGUACCAACAUACACUGGCCCUUGGACGCCAUCUAGGCCUUUCAUAUUAAUAUCGAAAAAAACAGUGUUGCGAUUAGCAUAUCUAUCAUGACGAUCAAUGCCAUCGAACCUCUGAGGAAACUGGACAUAGCAGACCUUCUUCCCUAGCUGAGGAUCCAUUAAAAAGCACAUGGCUUCCCUCACAGCUUUGCUGUUGUUAAGGUAGUGAUCACAAUCCAGAUUCAACAUGAAAGGUGCAUUGGUGAGUACUGCAGAGACUCGGAUCAGAGCAUUCAUGGCACCUGCUUUCUUGUGGUGUUGAUAGCCAGGUCGCUUCUCACGAGAGACAUAUACAAGCCUGGGAAGCUCUUUACCUUCCACAUCAAGAGCACCCUCACUUCCAAGAUAUACCUGAAUCAUUCCAGGAUGAUCUCUUGUGUUAUUUCCAGGCCAUGGGGUACCAUCCUGCAUAACCCAUCCUUCUUCUGGUUUCUUCUGAGCCUUCGCCACCAAUGCAUUAAUCUUCACCUUGAAUUCUUCAUAUUCUCUUUUCAUAGCCCUGCGCUCCUU